AUUGAACGCUGGCGGCGUGCCUAAUACAUGCAAGUCGAGCGAAGCGGCGGAUGGGUGAGUAACGCGUGGGUAACCUGCCCUUAAGUCUGGGAUACCAUUUGGUAACAGAUGCUAAUACCGGAUACUACAGGAUUGACCUGCGCUGCAUUAGCUAGUUGGUAAGGUAACGGCUUACCAAGGCGAUGAUGCAUAGGCGAGUUGAGAGAAUGAUCGGCCACAUUGGGACUGAGACACGGCCCAAACUCCUACGUGAGGCAGCAGUAGGGAAUCUUCCACAAUGGACGAAAGUCUGAUGGAGCAACGCCGCGUGAGUGAAGAAGGUUUUCGGAUCGUAAAGCUCUGUUGUUGGUGAAGCGGUAAUCAACCAGAAAGUCACGGCUAACUACGUGCCAGCAGCCGCGGUAAUUC
rnacentral:rRNA from 1 species